AUUGAACGCUGGCGGCAGGCUUAACACAUGCAAGUCGAGCGGGGGAAGGUAGCUUGCUACCGGACCUAGCGGCGGACGGGUGAGUAAUGCUUAGGAAUCUGCCUAUUAGUGGGGGACAACAUCUCGAAAGGGAUGCUAAUACCGCAUACGUCCUACGGGAGAAAGCAGGGGAUCUUCGGACCUUGCGCUAAUAGAUGAGCCUAAGUCCGAUUAGCUAGUUGGUUAGGUAAAGGCUGACCAAGGCGAUGAUCGGUAGCUGGUCUGAGAGGAUGAUCAGCCACACUGGGACUGAGACACGGCCCAGACUCCUACGGGAGGCAGCAGUGGGGAAUAUUGGACAAUGGGGGCAACCCUGAUCCAGCAAUGCCGCGUGUGUGAAGAAGGCCUUCGGGUUGUAAAGCACUUUAGUUGGGGAAGAAGGUGUAUUGUUUAAGAGAUGAUACAUUUGACUGUACCCAAAGAAUAAGCACCGGCUAACUCUGUGCCAGCAGCCGCCGUAA
rnacentral:rRNA from 1 species